CGGCGUGCCUAACACAUGCAAGUCGAACGAGGUCCAUCCUUCGGGAGAAGACCUAGUGGCGAACGGGUGAGUAACACGUGAGGAACCUGCCCCGAAGACCGGGAUAACCCUCCGAAAGGAGAGCUAAUACCGGAUACCCCCACCGAACCGCAUGGUUGGUGAGGAAAUGGAUUCCGCUUCGGGAGGGCCUCGCGGCCUAUCAGCUAGUUGGUGGGGUAACGGCCCACCAAGGCAUCGACGGGUAGCUGGUCUGAGAGGACGAUCAGCCACACUGGGACUGAGACACGGCCCAGACUCCUACGGGAGGCAGCAGUGGGGAAUCUUGCGCAAUGGGCGAAAGCCCUGACGCAGCAACGCCGCGUGGGGGAUGAAGGCUCUCGGGUUGUAAACCCCUUUCAGCAGGGACGAAUCAAGACGGUACCUGCAGAAGAAGCCCCGGCUAACUACGUG
rnacentral:rRNA from 1 species